rnacentral:lncRNA from 1 species
AGAAACCCACCAUCUGCCCUUCAGUCAGCCCUUGAAGGAACAGUAGAUAGUAACAACACCAGUGACAUAGAACAUCUGAACAGUGUUUAUGGAGAUAUUCAAGCACUAUGCAGAAAUACUGGCUAAAAAAUUGCAUGAAGUUUCAGCAAAGACAGCUUCUACAGCACCUUAAAGAAAUAAAAGUUUAAAAAUUUGUUUUUGCUGUUUUCCAGAGUCCUAGAAUUACCUCUCCAGUGAAAGACAGAAAAAAUAUUGAUUUAAUUGAGUGGAUGUAAAGAUCUAAAAGAUUGGGUCUACGUCAGACUUCUCUUUUAUUAUGAGGUUUGGCUUCCUGCCAUGUGUUCAGGCAAUAAAUUGGCUGUAGCGGAGCUGCUUCUAGCAUUCAGCUGGGUGGAAGUAUCCCAACAGAGACGGUAGCAGGCACAACAAGGACUGGGAAGGUGAGGCAACUCAGGUUAUCAGGUUUUCUCAAGGAUUUCGACAAUGCUGCUCCGCUCAGGCCGCCAAAAGCCGUACGAAGUGCUUGCCUCUGGAAGGCAACUGGCUAAAGGCAAAUCUCUGCAGUGCAAUACAGCAGCAGCUUCUGAAAAGUCAGUAAAAUUGCCAGUGUUUAGACUGCGAAAAACAGUGAAGUGCUAUUUACUGACUGAAGAUUCAAAAACAGUGCAUUUUGACUUAGAUGAAGAUGGUCAUCAUGAAAUAUCAACCAAAGAUUCACAGUCCCAUGAAGAUAUCGCGUGGUUAAGUAUGUUCACAAGCAAUGAACCAGCAGUUAGUGCAAAAACAUGCUCUAAAAAUGUGGUGGUCCUCACACAGAGAUCAAAGCAUAACGAAUUUGUCCUGUUGUGCAAGGGUAAAAAGCAGCUCUGUCUGAAGGUCUUAAAAGGAUGUUGUUCAGAGCCAGAUUAUCCUUCAAUGAGAAGACGCAACAGGAAAACAUGCAAGCACGAAGAUCCUGACUUCAAACAGCUGAGCGAAGAUAAUCACUUUUUCAUCAUGCAUUGUGAAGGAGAGUCAGUGAAAUUCCAGUGCUAUGAAGACACAAAUUACUUUCUGCAUGUGAAUGAUGACUCACUUGAUAUACGCAAGCCAGAUCACAAAGACCCCAAUGGAGAGAAAAAUUUUUUCUUCAGGGUGUCAUACUUAUAG